UGCAUUACUCUGCCUUUAAACGUGUUCUUCUUAGAGUUAAAUUGUCGAUUGAGAAAAAGGAAAAAACACUUUAAGCACCAAUGUUUAUUGCAUAAAAGCAGACUACAUGCAUAAUUUUGUGCGCGUACUGUAUACAUAUAUACCAUAAAGAACAAUUAAAGCGAUGUAUCUUUAUUUGGGUAUAUAGAUUUGAAUCUCUGUGCCAUUUGAAGCAUUUUUGGGAAAAUAAUCUUAAAACGGUGAUGUAAUUUAGACGCAAAAUAUUUUUUUGCUUUUGUAAACCUAAAAACAAUCAAAUCUUUGUAUAGGAUUUCAUUUAUAACCUCUGGUUUAUGAGCAGUGAACAGACGGUUAAGCAGAGCGGUUCUGUAGUGAAUGUCCACCGCAGAAAGCACAAUCAAUCAAAACUAACCAGGAUACCCUUUGGUUUUAUUUUCUCGAAGAGUCGCGUAGAAGUGGAUUUCUAGUAGUUUACGUAUCCUGAUUCCUCGCCAUAAAACAGCUCCACUUUAAUAUGUUUGUACGAGAAUUGAGAAUUGAGAAAUGAGAAGUAGCACCAACGGUAAUGUUCACAAAAUAACAUCCGUGUGCAUACUCCUACAGCAAAGGUAACAACACUUAAAAGUAACGACGCCUACUACUAACAGCAGUAGUGUUGGAAGUGUAACUGAGCACUUACCAGUAGAAAAAAAUAGAAUUAAAUUGCGCGUUGCUUAAAGCUAGCAGUAUUUCAAGAAAUUACGUUUUUGUGAUUUAAUAUCAUAAAUACAACCUAUGUAAUGAAUGAAAAUCUCCAGAAAGUGUAGCUUUUAUUUAUCACUAACAUAUAAUGUCAUAUUUACAAAUAUUUAGAAUUUAUUCAUUUAUGUGUUUGUGUACUUCUACACCGUGCACUUUGUAGUUGAUUUUGAAUUUGUUCGCUUACUGUGUUUUCUCACGGGUUAACUUUAUCUGCCCCUAUUGGAACAGAUGCCACAUAGAGCUGCUCCCUGAAGAUCAUUUGUUUCCUUGAUGGGGAACAUUUCUGAGCCCAGCAUUUUGGUUGCCAUGGUGAACUGAAUAAAAGAAGGAACACUAGUCACAUUAAGCUAUAUGUUUGUGCACUGGACUUGAGAAUAAAGGGCUUCUAGUUUAGCCAAGAUGAUCUCGCAAGGAAGCCAAACUAACAACUCGGGCCUUCCAUGACAUAACCUAUUAUUUUACCAUGGACAUUUAAAUUUAUUUUAAAACCGUUAAUGGUAGUCUAUUAAUUUAUACAUUUUACGCGAGUUGUUGUUUUUUUUUACAAAACCCCAAAUAACUUUGCAGUUAAAUUGGAGUUAACAAAGAAAAACAUAUCAGACCAGCAGGGGUCGCGCUUAUUCGUGCGCGCAACUUUGGAAUAACUCAUAUGCUACUCAGCAUCACCCUUGAAGCAAGCUCCAAAAUCAGGUAUUGCAUCUGAAGGAGAAUGGACACAAUCUAGACAGUUUUGCCCAUCUUCUGUUUUUUUUUUUCUAAGAAGGAAAGUGCUUUACUGCUUGAAUAUUGAUGCUGCAGGCUGUUUUCUUUGGUAGACUAUAAAGAUAUGCAAAUGCAGUUGUUAAAAUGAAAAAAAGGAGUAGUACAUUUUGUGUUUUUAUUUCUCAUAGUAACAGUUCAUUAUGUGAAGGGCUUCAGGAUUUGCUGUUGUGUUUUAUUGCCUAAUCUUGUUUUGUAGGAGCUAGAAUUGAGCUGUGCAGGUACAGUAGGAAGCAGGAAAUUAAACAUAUUUCAAAACUUUGGCUUGAAAUUCUUGGAGUUCAGCUACAAAUGGGAACAAAAGCAUCUGCAAUCUUUUAAACAUUUGUAACAUGUUGCCAAACAAAUGUACAUCUAAUUUGUAUAUAUUGCAUAAACUUUAAAUAAAAAAAACAGAAGCUUGGAUUUCUUAUACCCUUGAAAUUUCAUUCAUAUUGUAUCCAUUUUGGUAGCGAUUACCAGCACCACAUAAACUGAUUGUUAAAAGGACUAAAUUAAAGGUUUAUACCAGUUUGAGUGGCUUAAAAGUUUACCGGUGCCAUUAAAAACUUUACUAGGCUUCCUCUGCAUGAUAAAUAGGCCUUCCAGAAAAAAAAAUGGUAUUAAGAAAGAAUUAGCAUAACAGGAAAAGCAUUAACCGACCUACGCAGUUCCCAGCAUGCUAGUAUUUAAUGAACGCACCCCUGGACUUGUGAUGAAAAAUAUACUGUAAAAACACAAGUAUUGCUCUUCUUGAAUAUGGACAAAUUCAAGUGGCAUUUUGGAUUUAGUAUUAGCGCACCAUGCAAGUAUAAUUUUUCUUCUCAUAAUGAAACCAGAAAUUAUUACACAAAAAUGUCUGUCAGCUUUUGAUGUCUUUUUUAUAUCUUUCUUGUACUAUUCUGUAUCUCACCUUGCCCAGGCAUUUCAAAUUCAUAAUUUCUGGACAUUUCUGGACAUGUACGGGUAUAUACAGGUAUAUGCAGGUACAUGAAACUGUACAUGAUGAUAAUGCAGAGUCCAUUUCUUCAUGUUGUACCAUUCCUUGUAUUCCUGUAAUCUGACAAGAAGAAAUAUCACAGAUGUUCCUUCAUCUGACUUCUUCAAAAUGUAAACACUUUUUAGACAUAUUUUCACUGGAAUCAACAGUGCCUACUCAGUUCUGUGAAAGUGAGCACACUAGAAUAUGAAAAAAGAAGCCAUAAAUGAAAUAACUGCCAAUUUGGUUGCCUACUGUAUGUACUUGUCUUGGUAAAAAAAUUCAAAAUGCUGAACAUUUUGUUUAGAUUAUUAAUCGGUUUAUAUCUAAACAAAUAAAGUGUAAAUUAGAAUUCAGUUCAAAAUGAUUAGAUCACAGUGUCAAUUAGUUUAUUCUUCAUUAUUAAACAUAUUUUGAAAAAGACUUAGAAUCACUUGAUCAUUUCCAGAAAUAGGUAUUUCCAGCAAACAUAUUGCAGAGAGAAGUUUUUUUUUAAAAGUAAAACUAUGAAAGUAGGCAUGAAAUAAAAUUAUAAACUAAAUGUACUGGCUAACUAACUAAGGUAAGUUGAUUCUCGUUGUUGACAUAAAGACAUUUCGUUUCCAGGUGAAGAGUGAUGUAAGUAAUAUAUGAAACAAAGUUACAUUUUACUUUUGUGUAGUGCCACUGGAUUAUUUUCUUCUGAAUUAUUCAAAUAUUAUCUAUCAAAAUGAAUGCAUAAAAUAAUUAAAUUAUUUAUCUUUAUCAACAUAAUGCUUUUAAACAUAAUUCUAACACAUUCAAGUAACCACUAUAAAGCUGCUUCAUUACAACAGUCUUACCAUGUUUUAGUCUGAUCUUGUCUGAUCUCAGAAGCUAAGCAAAACUGGGCUUGGUCAGUACUGUGAUGGAAGCCCCUUAAGAAAAAAGUUGCUCCUGUAAGGGUGCCACUGACAGGGGGCAUUAUGAUCUAACACCAAGGCCCUGAGUGCUUGGUCAUUAAAAUCAUAAGACAUGCUUUUAUAAAUAAGGAUGUUAACAUGGUGUCUUGUUUACAUUCUUGGGCUGUAACAAUGUGGUCUACCUAAAGCAAUUGUUUUAGUUGUAGGAUUUACAUUUAAUAUUCACCAUAGAACAAUAAGGAAUGUGGUUGCUUUUCAGUUUCAAUGUUCAGAGUGAGCCUCCUUCUCUCAAUAUGCAAUUCAGUACUUAAACUUUUCUCAUGAAAAUAGCUUCUCAAAGGACUUGUUAAAGUUAUCAGCCUGGAAGAAUAUGGAGGAAGGAAAUCAAUAUGAUGAGAGAUGAUAGUAGAUCUUUCCAUGUUCUCCAGAUUUUCAAACUCUUUGCAUUGGAUUUUAUGUUGCUUAGUCACAAUAGCAAAUAUCUAAUAGCAUAAGGUGAAAAAAUAAAAAAAGCACACAGAACACAUAGCACCUACAGUAUAUAUGAGAAUAUGUAACAAGCAGGAAAUAAAUAAAUGCAAAUUAUAUAAGCUGCCUGUUUAUGUUAUUAUCUAAAGCAAAAACAUCCAGUUCAGUCUCAUUUCAUAAAGGUGUGUCAUUUUUAAAGCUUUGAAACACGUGAAAUGUUUUAUUCCAGGAAUGCUUAAAGGAAAAAAAGGGAAUUAAUUUUAAAUUCAAAAGAGUUUCAGAAUCAACACUGUUUCUCCAUAACAUUCAGUGUUUCGUUUCUGCCCCAAAUGUUAAUUGUCAAGUUUGAUCACGACUCUCACAGUAAUAUCCAGGGCUCUCGGGUUCAGUCGCAUACACUGUCUCUGAAGAGCUUCCAACAAAUGAGCUAUUCAGCACCGACAACAGCAAGACUGGAUGUACAGAUAAACACUGAAGCCCUCCUUGUGUUUCCAGUUACUACUGAUGAAUUCCCUUUUAUAUACAUUUGGUUAUGAAAGAGAACCUUUCCAUACUUUGAUGGAUGUUUUUAAAAGACCAAGAUCUAGAAAGAACAUUUUUAGUAGUUUGUCAUUUUUAACUAUGACUAAUACAAACAAUGCAUUUGCAAACAAUGCAGUUUCAAUUCAUUUUCAAAACAGCUGCAGUUCUACACCUAAAGAUUUUCUCCUUAGUUUGAAGAACCUUACUGCUCUCGCACAGAUUGUACAUAAGCUUUGUAGUAAUAAAUCCAGAUUUAAUAUGCAUCUCCAGCAAUUCUUUUUCUGAAUGUCAAUAUUUUAAAAUGACACAUAAAUAAACUGAUUAAACAGAAUGUCAAUUUUCUUAUGACAAAUUACAAAACUAUUGGUUGGAAUUUAUGAACAGUAACUAUUGGUGCAGCACAAUUUUCUCUUUAGAUUACUAUACACUGAUUUUACUGCCCCGUCUCUUUUGUUUGAAUUUGUACCUGUUUCCAAUAUGUGUUUGACUCACUAUAAAUCUUGUUAAAGAGUUGUUAAAUCUUUGUAAUACGUGCUGUAGAAAUGGACCCACUACUCUGCCUAUUACUAGUGUAAAUUGUAUACCUGUGUGUUUUUCCUCGGAAUCUUGCUAAAACAUAAAUACUUUAACUGACUUUUAUUAAUAGCAAAAGCUGUGUUAUAAGCUACAAAGUGUAACCUUACAAAAUGUAAACAUUAUACAUGGUAUAUACUGUAUGUGCACAUAUCAGCGUACUGUAUAUAUUUAUAUAAGCAAUGCGUUGCUUGAUUUCUGCAAUAGCUCUCCUAUUUUUACCGCAGAUUACUGCAAAAUAAUUCUGGGUUUACCUUUUGUGUUUUUAUAUCACCUUGGUAUUCAUCUUCUAUUUUACUUUAUACUACAUUGUUAGUUUAUGUUAAAACACCCAAUUUAUUUUCCCUUAUGAAACAAGAAAACUAUAAGUGAUCUAUGUGCCUCUAUAGAAGUAUUCCAAUGUAAAAACUGAGGCAUUUUAUACAGAACAUUUGGUUAUUUCUAUUAGGGUUAUUGUUCUAAGCGUUGCACUAUGUAUCUUAAAUACAAUUGACUUUAAAAUGUUGAGAACUUAUGGUACAAAUUGUAAUUAUUUUUUGUAAGUCAUCUUAUGUAACAGAGACUGCUAAGUACAUUAACAAUAAUAAUUAUAUAUAGGAUAGGCUCUGGCUUCCCUGCAACCCUGUAUUUGAUAAAGUUGUUUGAAUGGAUGGAUAGAAUAUAUACAACAUAAUUAUAAAAGUUUCUAAUUCACAUUUCACCAUGUAUUUUUUCUGAGCUGUUUCUAGGGGAAAUCUGGUUUGCAUAACUUUAUAGUCAAAUGUCUUCUUCAGCAACAUUCAUAGAAUUUAAAAUGUAAAAUUUAAAUGUAAAAGUUUCUGCAAAUUUUACUGCAAAUCAUAACAAAGAAAUAUCCUUGUUUCAACUAUCAAAUGUCUCGUUGUUUGCCAUUUUCUUUCAAUUUGUUUGUUCCAUGACUUCAGUACUUCUGUAUCCAUUAAAAUAGGCAAUUUUAAAAAUUGGA